ensembl:lncRNA
CGGGAGGGAGUUCAGCUUCCUGACAGCCUGGUGGAUGAAGCUGUCCUUCAGUCUGCUGGUCCUGGCCUGGAGACUCCGCAGUCUCCUCCCUGAUGGUAGCAGGCUGAAGAAGCUGUGUGAUGGGUGAGUGGGAUCACCUGUGAUGCAGAGGGCUUUGCGGGUGAGACGUGUUCCAUAAAUGUCCUGGAGGGAGGGUAGAGAGACACCAAUGAUCUUCUCAGCUGCUCUCACUAUGCGUUGUAGAGUCUUUCGGCAGGACGCGUUGCAGGCGCCAUACCACACAGUGAUGCAGCUCGUCAGGAUGCUCUCGAUGGUGCCUCUGUAGAAUGUGUACAUGAUGGGGGGUGGGGCUCUGGCUCUCCUCAGUUUGCGGAGGAAGUAGAGACGCUGCUGUGAUUUCUUGGCCAGUGCUGCAGUGUUGUCGGUCCAGGAGAGGUCCUCUGUGAUGUGCACACCCAGGAACUUGGUGCUGCUCACUCUCUCCACAGUCGCACCGUUGAUGGUCAGAGGAACGUGCUGAGUGUGUGCUCUCCUGAAGUCUACAACAAUCUCCUUCGUCUUCUCCACGUUCAGAGAGAGAUUGUUGUCACUGCACCACCCGGCCAGGCGGCUCACCUCGCUCCUGUAGUUUGUCUCAUCUCUGUUGCUAAUGAGACCCACCACAGUCGUGUCAUCCGCAAACUUAAUGAAGAGGUUGGAGCUGUGUGACGGUGUGCAGUCAUGGGUCAGCAGAGUGAAGAGGAGGGGGCUCAGCACACAUCCUUGGGGGGCCCCAGUGUUCAGUGUGAUGGUGCUGGAUGUGUUGCUGCCGACCCGUACUGCCUGAGGUCUUCCAGUCAGAAAGUCCAACAGCCAGUUUCACAGCAAAGUGUUGAGCCCCAGCUCGACCAGUUUGUGAAUGAGCUGUUGAGGGAUGAUUGUGUUGAAUGCUGAACUGAAGUCUAUGAACAGCAUUCUGACGUAUGAGUCCUUUUUGUCUAGAUGUGUGAGUGCUGAGUGGAUGGCAGUAGUGAUGGCAUAAUCGGUCGACCGGUUGGACCGAUAUGCAAACUGGAAUGGGUCCAGGGAGGGGGGGGGGGCAGACUUGAUGUGGUGCAUGACUAGCCGUUCAAAGCACUUCAUGAGGAUGGGAGUAAGUGCAACAGGAUGGUAGUCAUUAAAGCAGGAUGGAGAUGGCUUCUUCGGGACUGGAAUGAUGGUGGUAGUUUUGAAGCAUGUUGGAACAACAGCCUGACUCAGUGAGAUGUUGAAAAUGUCUGUGAAGACAUCAGUGAGUUCUGCUGCACAGUCUCUCAGUACACGCCCAGGAAUGUUGUCAGGUCCCGGAGCUUUGCAUGCAUUGAUCCUGCUGAAGGAUCUC